CACGUAGGGACCAAGCGUUGUCCGGAUUCAUUGGGCGUAAAGAGCUCGUAGGCGGUUCGAUAAGUCGGGUGUGAAACCUCCAGGCUCAACCUGGAGACGCCACCCGAUACUGUCGUGACUAGAGUCCAGUAGGGGAGCGUGGAAUUCCUGGUGUGAGCGGUGAAUGACGCAGAUAUCAGGAAGAACACCCGUGGCGAAAGCGGCUCUCUGGAACGGUACUGACGCUGAGACGCGAAAGCGUGGGGAGCGAACAGG
rnacentral:rRNA from 1 species